AAAACAUAAAGAUAAAUUUGACACCGCAUAAGGUGUGUCACAAUCGCAAAGGAUGAGGUGACAAAACCUAAAAUGCUUCCUUUCGCCCCAAACCUAUCAUUUCCCCACUGCGCAAAUCCACUUCGCUUAAAUUCCUAUAGGAAAACGUGGAAGAUGAAGAUGCAGAUGAAUUGAACUUUUCAAUGUUAUAAACAUUUUCAGGAGAAUAACGCUAAGGGAAAGCUAAGGAUGAUUCAACUCGAGCAUUAUUGUUUUGUUAUUUUCAUAGAGGUUAUGGUACUUUUUAUUCUCAAAUCACAAAUGGACAUGCAAAUGAAUUUGACGGGUUCAAUGUUUAAAUGCUAAGAUGAAUUUGAGGUUUUUGAUGUUAAAAUAUUCAGACGAAGCACGCCGCACUUGUUCUAAUUACUUUUGAGGUAUUUUUAACUUGCUCUGUGUGCUUAAUAAAUUAUUAAUUUUCUGUUUUUGCACUUGCUAAACCUCUUAUAUGACUUACACAUUCAACAAUAUCUUAUUAUUAUAUAAGUUGCUUGGUAGAGGAUACUUGGAGGCUAUGAUGUUGUUUUCAACUUUUAGAUCAGACAAGAGGUUGAAGAACCUGGCUACUGGCAUGGUGUUACAGUAUCUAUUUGAAAAUACCAUCGUGGUUCAUUCUACAGGUACUGAUUAUGCAGCCGUGGUCAGGCUCUUUUCUUCCACUUUUUGUUUGAGAUAAGGGGAAUCUGAGCCUUCCUCCGUAACCCUGCAAUUAUGGUUUACACACAUUGGUUGUUAGUUUAAUUAUGAGGCUCCACAUUCAGAGAUAAGGUUGUAUUGAGAGGCAUUGCCACUCCGAGUUGCUGUGCAAGCCGAUGAUCCUUCUCAGUGAAAUUUGCUAACAGCUCUGCACAUAUACAUACAUACAUACACACACAUACUCUCUUUUCUAUUCCGAUUCUUCUCUCUUAGAUAACAAAGUAGUGAUGAUGAUUUCAGCAAUUGAAUCAGACGUUGUGCGAAGAGUUGUUUCCUGGCCAUGUGACUCUUUGUCUGUGUAAAAUUACCUUUGUGGUCAUUUGCACAGAUUCUGUUGAUGCAGCCUUUGCAAACAUCUUCUCUUUUGUGUCUGAGAAAAGGCGAAUCUGAGCCUCCUUUUGUUCAACCCUAACUCAUUUUUUUUUUUUUUUGGGAUUUCCCUUUUCUUUCCGUCUUUCAUUUGCUCUUUUGAAAUUUUGUUUGUUUCUAUUCUAUUUCAAAUUUAAUGUUGUAAGCAUGGUACUAUGGAACACAUCAACAUUUUCUGUGAAACAGAUAUCCACUCUACUUACUUGGUUUCAUGUGAAUUGACUUCCUAAAAAUUUUUCUUUGAAAAUAAUUUAUUUGUACUCAAACUAUCAUUUCAUUCUUGAAUAUAGUUUUUUGUACUCCAUCCGUGGUGGAAAGAGAAGGACUCAGGGUACACCUUUCCUAAUGCUGCACUAAUUAUAGUAACCGUGUUUCACUUGACCCACCUCAUCGAUUUCUGUGCGAGGGAUUUCUAGACGCUACUUGGUUUCAUACGAAGUGAUGUCCAAAAAGAAUUUCUAUGUUUAUAUUUUUAUAUCACUCUACUAUUGUUUCGUGCUAGAGAGGGGAUGACUCUAAGAAGGAAUGGUCGCUUAGUUCUUGAGAAAACUAUAAUUUUCUUUGAGCAUUGGAUAUCCAUACAUUUUUUAUACAUUUGAAAUAGAGAACUAGAGGGCUUGGUAAUCCUAUUUCAAAUGAUGAAUAGGAGGUUUUCGAUGUUAAAAUGAUUUCAGGGGAAGCGUGCUACUCCUGUUCUAAUGAGUAAUAGCUUAUAAGACUGUUCCUUUGAGCAUUGAGGCUUUCACACCUUACCAGAACUUUAAGAAAGAAAGUUAAAAAAUGAUUAAAGGACUCAUGGAUCAUACUACGUAGCUAUUUGAUUUUAUAGCAAAAGACAAAUUAGCUCAUUGAGGAUUCUGUACGUACAUGGAAGCCAAUUUAACGUCAUAAUUGAUAUGGAUUGUUAAACUAUACCUUUGAGAUAUGUUCAAAUACUGGAGGAACUGUAUCCCAAUUUAAAGCUUAAAAUGGACCUAGAUUCUUCUAUUCUAUGCCACCAAUUUAUUGGUCUAAUAUAAUGUAUUUCUGUCAA